UGGAGGAAGAAGGCAAAGAGAAAAGGGAGGAGAGGAGAGAGAGGAAAAGGCCCUUUUAGUGUCCCUGGCCCUGUUAUCAGAUGUGGCUUCUAGAAGCCUGGACACCAAGACUAGUCCGUAGAAGGUGGGGUAGGAGGAACAAGCUGGGGCUGGGAAUAAAGAAAUCCAAUUAGAUCUGAAGAACUUUCUAUAAGACAAAAAAAAAAGAAAAAAGGCGCAAAGAUGGUUGUCAAGGAGAGAGAAGUGUCCCCGCGGCAGGAAGCAGCCGGGAAGCCCAACAGCCCUGGAACUGGGUGGCCCCGCCAUGGGACCUGAACCCAGAAGAUGGAAGGCAUGGGGGGGGGGUUCCCCGGAGGUUGGGGGCAGGUGAGGCCCGCGGACUGGAAGGCCCUCGAGGCUCCUCCGGCCGGGCCUAGGCAGGCAGAAGCCCGUCUGUGGCUCGUCCCCGGCUCGUCGUCGUCCCCAGGCCGGAGGCGGCUGGGCUCGGGCCCAGCAGCCAUGUUGGGAGCUGGGCCUGGACGCCACCGAACCCGGGCUCGCUGGGGACCCGCGGGGGCCCCCCCCCCCCGGCUCUUCUGCCGCCGCUCCCCACCUCCCACGGCGGCGGCCCGGGGGGCCCCCCGCGCCCAUGGGGUUAACUCUCUCCCCGUCCCUCUGGGCUCCGAGUUGUUUUCCGAGCGAGCGAGCGAGGCAGAGAAUGGCUCUCUUGUUACCAACAUGGCUUCUGGGCAUUGGGUAAUGCGCUCCCUCGUCUCCGGGCCGAGUCACAAAGGGACCUUUUGUUCCUCUCCCGGCCCCUCUCUCUGCCCCCCACCCGCCCCGGCUCCCUCUUCCCCACGCCUCCUGCCCUGCUCUGCGGCACCCCUGGGCGGCCAGGCCUGACCGUGGCCUGGCCGCCGUGCCCUCCCUCGCCCCGGAGGAGAAGGGCCCUGGGCGGCCAUGGCGGCCACGGCGGCGGCCAUUUUGAAAGCGGCCCUUCCAGGCUCCCCGCGGCUCCUCGGGGCGAGCCUCGGGGCGCGAGGUGGGGGGCCCUGCGGCCCCCUGUCCGCGCCUCUCCCAGGCUUCCAGCCUCUCAGGCGGCCAUCUCACUGCAUCCGCACAGCUGGCCCUGGGACGGGGAGAGCCGGGCUCAGAGGGGCCACACUGCCUGCCCACCCCCAAAAGGGCCCAGAACCGGGAAGGAGAUGGACAGAAACAUUUAGGUGGAUUAUAGCCACCUUGGCCAUGUCUAGAAUCACGGAGGCCAUCGCUCUGAGGAGGCAGGGCUCAGCCACCAGAACACUCUGUGACUGCUCCAUCUCACCCACCCAUGUGGAGAGAGCACGUUAGCACGUUCACAGGCUGGGAGUGUGUGCUCUCCUCUGUCUCUUGUCUGCUCUGCUGGGCCUGCCUCCUGGGGAGGCAGAGGCAGAUAGGAACUUGAGGACUUGUGGAUUGGGGUGUGUGUGUGUGUUGGGGGGUGGGUUGGGGAGAGACUCUGAGUUGAACCACUUGCCCUGUGGCCCUCAAAGAGAAGCGAGGAGUUUCAGAAGCUGCAGGUCAGGGUGCCUGGACACACUGAGGGUGUUCCUACUUCUCUCUGGAAGCUGAGGGAGAAAGGCUUCCUGGAGGAGGUGACAGAGAUGAUUAGGUCCAAACGAAGGCUGAGGUAAAGAACACGGAGGAGGAGCUGCUGCUGGGGAGAGGCAGGGAAGGAGAUGGUGAGUGGUGUGUGGGAGGGAAGAGCCCCAUAGCCCACGUGUGCUGUAGUGGGGUGUGGCAGGGAAAAUAAGGAUGGGCAGAGGCGAGCUGCCGUGCGAGCCCAGAGGACUGGGGGUAGCUGCUGAGAAAGACACAUGGAUCCUGAGGGCAGAGGAAAGCUUAAUGAUCUGGGUUUUAUUUAUAUUUAUUGAUUUGUUUAUGAGACAGAGUCUGUCUGUGGAGCCCUGGCUGCCCUGGAACUCUGUAUAGACCGGGCUGGCCUCCGACUCACAGAGACCUGCCUGCCUCUGCCGAAGUACUGGGAUUAAAGGUGUGUGUCACCAGCCCCAA